GCACGCUUGUGCAGUCAGGUGACACUAGAAUAGUUGGAAGGAAUGUUUAGGGAGGUAGCUAUAGCACUGUACGCGCACAGGGGCGCGCGUAACCUCACGCGCGCGCGGCGUGCGUGCCCGGGCUUUGAACAGCAUCUGGUCAAAGCCGCCGUCGAGACGGAUCGCUCGCCACCCACUUGGACUUGGGGCAGUGAGACACCACCUGAAUCCUGAUCCACACAGGAGCAAAGCUUUGAAUUGAUGAGCCUAUGAUACGCCUAUACAUGCAUGCCCUUGGCCAAGUUCCAACGUUCCCAAACUCCCACGCCCCCACCUGGCCAGGCCAUGCCACCCCCUAUCUCUCUUCCAAUUACCUGGGCCUCCAUCGCCUUCUACUCC
rnacentral:lncRNA from 1 species